rnacentral:tRNA from 1 species
UCUAAAUAAUUUAACUAAAAUAUCUACUUUGGAUGUAGAAAAUUCUUAA